AGGGAAUCUUCGGCAAUGGGGGCAACCCUGACCGAGCAACGCCGCGUGAGUGAAGAAGGUUUUCGGAUCGUAAAGCUCUGUUGUAAGUCAAGAACGAGUGUGAGAGUGGAAAGUUCACACUGUGACGGUAGCUUACCAGAAAGGGACGGCUAACUACGUGCCAGCAGCCGCGGUAAUACGUAGGUCCCGAGCGUUGUCCGGAUUUAUUGGGCGUAAAGCGAGCGCAGGCGGUUUGAUAAGUCUGAAGUUAAAGGCUGUGGCUCAACCAUAGUCCGCUUUGGAAACUGUCAAACUUGAGUGCAGAAGGGGAGAGUGGAAUUCCAUGUGUAGCGGUGAAAUGCGUAGAUAUAUGGAGGAACACCGGUGGCGAAAGCGGCUCUCUGGUCUGUAACUGACGCUGAGGCUCGAAAGCGUGGGGAGCGAACAGGAUUAGAUACCCUGGUAGUCCACGCCGUAAACGAUGAGUGCUAGGUGUUGGAUCCUUUCCGGGAUUCAGUGCCGCAGCUAACGCAUUAAGCACUCCGCCUGGGGAGUACGACCGCAAGGUUG
rnacentral:rRNA from 1 species